CAUGCAGUCGAACGAUGAUGCCCAUCUUGCUGGGCGGAUUCUAGGCGAACGGGUGAGUAAUACGUGAGUAACCUGCCCUUGACUCUGGGAUAAGCCUGGGAAACUGGGUCUAAUACUGGAUACUACCUCUUGCCGCAUGGUGGGUGGUGGAAAGGGUUUUACUGGUUUUGGAUGGGCUCACGGCCUAUCAGCUUGUUGGUGGGGUAAUGGCUCACCAAGGCGACGACGGGUAGCCGGCCUGAGAGGGUGACCGGCCACACUGGGACUGAGACACGGCCCAGACUCCUUACGGGAGGCAGCAGUGGGGAAUAUUGCACCAAUGGGCGGAAGCCUGAUGCAGCGACGCCGCGUGAGGGAUGACGGCCUUCGGGUUGUAAACCUCUUUCAGUAGGGAAGAAGCGAGAGUGACGGUACCUGCAGAAGAAGCGCCGGCUAACUACGUGCCAGCAGCCGCGGUAAUACGUAGGGCGCAAGCGUUGUCCGGAAUUAUUGGGCGUAAAGAGCUCGUAGGCGGUUUGUCGCGUCUGCUGUGAAAGCCCGGGGCUCAACCCCGGGUCUGCAGUGGGUACGGGCAGACUAGAGUGCAGUAGGGGAGACUGGAAUUCCUGGUGUAGCGGUGAAAUGCGCAGAUAUCAGGAGGAACACCGAUGGCGAAGGCAGGUCUCUGGGCUGUUACUGACGCUGAGGAGCGAAAGCAUGGGGAGCGAACAGGAUUAGAUACCCUGGUAGUCCAUGCCGUAAACGUUGGGCACUAGGUGUGGGGGACAUUCCACGUUUUCCGCGCCGUAGCUAACGCAUUAAGUGCCCCGCCUGGGGAGUACGGCCGCAAGGCUAAAACUCAAAGGAAUUGACGGGGGCCCGCACAAGCGGCGGAGCAUGCGGAUUAAUUCGAUGCAACGCGAAGAACCUUACCAAGGCUUGACAUUCACCGGACCGCCCCAGAGAUGGGGUUUCCCUUCGGGGCUGGUGGACAGGUGGUGCAUGGUUGUCGUCAGCUCGUGUCGUGAGAUGUUGGGUUAAGUCCCGCAACGAGCGCAACCCUCGUUCUAUGUUGCCAGCACGUGAUGGUGGGGACUCAUAGGAGACUGCCGGGGUCAACUCGGAGGAAGGUGGGGAUGACGUCAAAUCAUCAUGCCCCUUAUGUCUUGGGCUUCACGCAUGCUACAAUGGCCGGUACAAAGGGUUGCGAUACUGUGAGGUGGAGCUAAUCCCAAAAAGCCGGUCUCAGUUCGGAUUGAGGUCUGCAACUCGACCUCAUGAAGUCGGAGUCGCUAGUAAUCGCAGAUCAGCAACGCUGCGGUGAAUACGUUCCCGGGCCUUGUACACACCGCCCGUCAAGUCACGAAAGUUGGUAACACCCGAAGCCGGUGGUCACGUAACCCCGUUGUGGGAGGAGCCGUUG
rnacentral:rRNA from 1 species